rnacentral:rRNA from 1 species
UACGGGGGGGGCAAGCGUUGUUCGGAUUUACUGGGCGUAAAGGGCGCGUAGGCGGCCAGCGCAAGUCAGUUGUGAAAUCUCUGGGCUUAACUCAGAACGGUCAACUGAUACUGUCGGACUAGAGUGCAGAAGGGGCAACUGGAAUUCUCGGUGUAGCGGUGAAAUGCGUAGAUAUCGAGAGGAACACCUGCGGCGAAGGCGGGUUGCUGGGCUGACACUGACGCUGAGGCGCGAAAGCUAGGGGAGCGAACGGG